rnacentral:rRNA from 1 species
UACGGAGGGUGCGAGCGUUGUCCGGAAUCAUUGGGCGUAAAGGGCGCGUAGGUGGCUUCUUAAGCGUGCGGUGAAAGCCUGGGGCUCAACCCCGGGUCGGCCGUGCGAACUGGGGGGCUGGAGCACUGUAGAGGCAGGCGGAAUUCCGGGUGUAGCGGUGGAAUGCGCAGAUAUCAGGAAGAACACCCGUGGCUAAGGCGGCUCUCUAGUACGGUACUGACGCUGAGACGCGAAAGCGUGGGGAGCGAACAGG